rnacentral:lncRNA from 1 species
AUUCUCCUGCCUCAGCCUCCUGAGUAGCUGGCACUACAGGAGAGAAACUUGAAGAGCUUGAAGAAUGUUACCAAGAAUGAAAAAGUUUGAAGAUAGGGGAGUUGGAAGGAAUACCUGGUAGAGGACAUUCUUGAAGGUGUGGAAAUAGAGUCUAGAACACAACUGAAUAAAGAGAGCUCCCCAUUUUGUGAGAUUGGAGGUGAAGAGGGAAAUUUGUGGAAAGAGGAACUUGGCAAGGAUGACCAAGAGUGAUUGCAGAAGAUCUCUCAGAAGAGGUGAUUUGAAC